UCUGCCUGAAGAUCAUUACCAAAA
rnacentral:piRNA from 1 species